rnacentral:rRNA from 1 species
UACGGGGGGAGCAAGCGUUGUUCGGAUUUACUGGGCGUAAAGGGCGCGUAGGCGGCGCAACAAGUCACUUGUGAAAUCUCCGGGCUUAACUCGGAAAGGUCAAGUGAUACUGUUGUGCUAGAGUGCGGAAGGGGCAACUGGAAUUCUCGGUGUAGCGGUGAAAUGCGUAGAUAUCGAGAGGAACACCUGCGGCGAAGGCGGGUUGCUGGGCCGACACUGACGCUGAUGCGCGAAAGCUAGGGGAGCAAACGGG